UACGUAGGGUGCGAGCGUUGUCCGGAAUUAUUGGGCGUAAAGGGCUCGUAGGCGGUUUGUCGCGUCGGGAGUGAAAACACCGGGCUUAACUCGGUGCUUGCUUUCGAUACGGGCAGACUAGAGGUAUGCAGGGGAGAACGGAAUUCCUGGUGUAGCGGUGAAAUGCGCAGAUAUCAGGAGGAACACCGGUGGCGAAGGCGGUUCUCUGGGCAUUACCUGACGCUGAGGAGCGAAAGUGUGGGGGAGCGAACAGG
rnacentral:rRNA from 1 species